rnacentral:tRNA from 1 species
UGGUACAAUUAAGCUCUGGUUAGAACGUCCCGUCAUUCCUGACGGGAAGGUCGCGAGUUCGAGUCUCGUCGUCCCCGCCA